rnacentral:rRNA from 1 species
GAAUUGCAGAAUCCCGUGAACCAUCGAGUCUUUGAACGCAAGUUGCGCCCCAAGCCGUUAGGCCGAGGGCACGUCUGCCUGGGUGUCACGCAUCGUUGCCCCCCAAAACCCCUCUCAAGGGAUCUUUGGUCGGCGGAAACUGGCCUCCCGUGCGCAGCCAGCUCGCGGUUGGCCCAAAUUCUAGCCCCUCGGCGACCGUGCCGCGAUGAUCGGUGGUGAAAUGAGCCUCUCGAACUCCCAUCGCGUGCUCGCGUCCUCGUGUUAUGGGCUCGUGGACCCUUCGAGUGCCUUCUAUCUCUGGCGCUGCUAGCUUUGCGACCCCAGGUCAGGCGGGACUACCCGCUGAGUUUAAGCAUAUCAAUAAGCGGAGGAAAAGAAACUUACCAGGAUUCCCUUAGUAACGGCGAGCGAACCGGGAAGAGCCC